rnacentral:rRNA from 1 species
AAACCGUUCGGGGGAAAACGGACAGAGCCCGUGAAUCCGGACGGCAGAAUUCAAGAUUGAUCGGCGUUUUGGCGUCGGUCGGUUUGAUAUUUCCGCCGUCAGUACGGACGUCGCGACCCGUUUGGUGUCGGUCUGAGGAGACGUGCUUACGUUCGUUGAUGUGUUGUCUGCUUCGGUAGGCACGCGUUACGAGUGCGCGUUCGUAUUCCGGCCGACUCGCCAGACGGUAUAUCGAUGGUGACCGCGACGGUCGUUCGCUUCACGGCGAUCAGCGCCGUCGCGGUACCGGUUUGCGACGAAUCUUCGGGUCUCUUUCCGA